GGACCCGGUUCCGGGGACUCGGGGUCCGUGAACAGUGUGGACCUUUAUUAUUAUUAUCAUUAUCAUUAUUGUUAUUAUUGGAUGUAUGUUUGCGGCACUGUGCUCUUGUGUUCCAUGCUGGUGUGUGUUCGUGUGUGUGUCUACGGGUGUGGCUGGAGGAUGAAGGACAGCCACCUGCAGGCCUGAUGGGUGUGGUCCUGCCGGCUGCUGGGCACGCCUAUGUUCCCACACACCUGCUUCUGAUCAGGCUCGUCGGGGGAGCUACAUAACAGAGCGAUGGGGCUUCCUCUGGCGCAGGAUCGUUGAGUUAGACUCCAUGAGAGUGGAACACGGGACUGCAGGACGCACGGGGUGUGCGUAGGCACAGAAGCAGAGAGCACGAAAUACCAGCACUUGGGAGAAGGCACAACACAGGAGUUGAGGGAGCACUCUGGAGAAUUAUUGUGUGGUGUACAUUUACCCCCACUGUAAAUAAAUGCACUGCUCAUUCCACUAAGUCCAGCGUUUGGGUCCUAUCUCCAUCAUUCCCCACCGUGACAGACACAACAGAGAAACUUCUUCUAUUUGGCCAUCGUCUUCUAUCUGUCUACAUCUGCACCUGCUGAAGGUUAGUCAUGUAUUAUCAGUUUCACAUACAAAUGUUUACUGCAAAUAGUAUUCACAUAUUGUAAAAGGUAUCAUAUAAAUGAACAGAAUAUCACUAUUGAAGAGAAAAUGAACGUACUACUACCCACUACUUGAUCUCACUGAGAAUAACAGAAAGGGAACUUGAGCUAUGUGUGAACCCCUUAAUGGCUAGUGUAUCAUAUUUGAUAUGUACUUUUGUGAGUUUUUCAUUGAUUUUUUUUUUUCUGUCCUCUCCAGAAAAUCUGAAUAAAUUUCCCAGUUUAAUUUGAAUCCGUAAAUUGAAAAGUAAAAUACAGUUUAUAGGUGAAAAAGAAAAAAGGUUAAACACUAAAUUUUCAGAAAAAAAGAUUUUUUUGUGACAAAG